GUCGCCUGGUGAGAGUGGCGGAAGGGCGAGGAACACGUGGGCAACCUGUCUUGAGGUGGGGAAAACCGCUGGAAACGGCGGCUAAUACCGAAUGUAGCGCCCGCUCGCAUGAGCGGAGCGCCAAAGGGGGCGAAAGCUCCCCCUCUUCGAGGGGCCCGCGCACCAUCAGCUUGUUGGCGGGGUAACGGCCCACCAAGGCUCACGGUUAGCUGGUCUGAGAGGAUGGCCAGCCGCACUGGGACUGAGAUACUGCCCAGACUCCUACGGGAGGCUGCAGUCGAGGAUCAUUUGCAAUGGGCGAAAGCCUGACAAUGCGACGCUGCGUGGAGGAUGAAGGCCCUCGGGUUGUAAACUCCUGUCAUGGGGGAAAAGGAAACCCUGCCCAAUACACAGGGAAUUUGAUGGUACCCCAAGAGGAAGCGACGGCUAACUCUGUGCCAGCAGCGGC
rnacentral:rRNA from 1 species